rnacentral:rRNA from 1 species
GGACGAACGCUGGCGGCGUGCCUAACACAUGCAAGUCGAGCGAGGAGAUCCUUCGGGAUGAUCCUAGCGGCGGACGGGUGAGUAACACGUGGGCAACCUGCCUCAUAGAGAGGAAUAGCCUUCCGAAAGGGAGAUUAAUACCUCAUAACAUUGCAGUUUCGCAUGGAACAGCAAUUAAAGGAGUAAUCCGCUAUGAGAUGGGGCCCCGCGGCGCAUUAGCUAGUUGGUGAGGUAACGGCUCACCAAGGCGACGAUGCGUAGCCGACCUGAGAGGGUGAUCGGCCACAUUGGGACUGAGACACGGCCCAGACUCCUACGGGAGGCAGCAGUGGGGAAUAUUGCACAAUGGGGGAAACCCUGAUGCAAGCAACGCCGCGUGAGUGAUGACGGCCUUCGGGUUGUAAAGCUCUGUCUUCAGGGACGAUAAUGACGGUACCUGAGGAGGAAGCCACGGCUAACUACGUGCCAGCCGCAGC